AACAACUCCUUUUUGGGAACGACUUAUUCCAAUGAACAUGCAGAAACACCUAACGGCAGGAGGGUCGACUAGUUUCAGCCUUCAUAUACUGUGAUUGGUUUCAGCCAGCCAAUACUAUUCAACCUGUGGUCCGAGGACCCCUAGAGAGAAAGUCGACAAUACACAGAAAAGCAUAUGAGAAUGUCAGAACAGUGCCCACAGCAGCGGCAGAUCGCCGUGACUGAAGUGGUAGCAGGGAAGACUGUGGCAAGCGCUGAAAGAAUCAAGUCUAUGAGACCAGGCUGGCUGUCGUGGUGGGGCAGCAUGCAUCACGUGUCUCCAGGACCAUGUGGGCUGAACCCUUACUCAAUGCUGUUGAAGCCCUAUGCUCCAAGGGGCUAAAAGAAAAGUUGAAGUUGCCCUCCAUCCAGCCCUCCUCAAGAGUAAAAGCGAGGAGAAUGAUAUCAAAUCUGGGUCUGGAGAAACCUUAGCGGUUUAGACCAUCGGGCCAGUAACUGAAAGGUUCUUGGUUUGAAUCCCCAAGCCGACUAGGUGAAAAAUCUGUCAUUGGGCCCUUGAGCAAGGCACUUAACCCUAAUUGCUCCUGUAAGUCACUCUAGAUAAGUGUCUGCUAAAUUACUAAAAUGUGAAGUGUGUGUGUAUUUACAAGCGUAUUAUUCCAAUAUGAUCCUAUGAACAAAUCUGAAGUCCGAUGUAUAUUUUACAUAAAAAAAUGUAUUUCAUCAAUAGGACCAUGGGAAGGGUGGGUCCCCAUAAACCAUGUUAUAAACUGAUUGACCUCAUAAACCAUAUAUACAAGUAUAUGUCUGUGUGUGGGAACAGUUCAUAUACUGUAUGAAAAAAUACCUGAUUAAAUUAAACCAAUUUUAUGAAACUAA